ensembl:lncRNA
GCACACCCUUCACCACAGACAGAGGACCAAUCCACCUCUUUCUGGUAUACUGAGAAAUGUUUCUGAGCUCUUCCUUUUCCCUGAAUAAGAGUGAAAAUAGCAGGUGAGCUGGGGCCAAAGACUUAAACUGAUCUCGGACUGCGUGUAUAACCUCAUUUGGGGAUAAUAUCAAGAGCCCAUAUCUGAGCCCUUUGUGAGUAUGAGGCCCAGCCAAAUGGCUCCUGUCAACUGCCGAACGCACACACACUGGAGAGGCCUGGUGUUGGACCACCAUCCCACCUGUGUACCCACCCACACCCGCCAGGAGAAAGCCCAGGGUCCUGUGGCUCUCCGGUCACCCUGGUAACCUCCUGGCAGUCGUGGGAAUGUCUCGGAGCUCGGGAGGAAGCUCAGCGCCACCUUCCCCACCCCCCUUCAGGAGAGAGGGUUCUCCGUAAACCCCAGAUGCUUGGCCACCCUGCCCUGGCUCGGGUUCUCUCUGCUCGUCCCUGACACGGCAGCCUGGACCAGCUCUAAUGAGAAGGAACGUGAAGCCAGCCAUCCUGAAUUUCUUUGUAUUAUAACCAGAAUCCUCGUCCUUUUCCAUCAAGCAGCUCUAGGUCAGGAGCCACUCCACUCAGGGCUUCUGUUCUGUCCACCUGUGUCUGGGAAAGUUUUGCAUACACACACACACUUUCUCACACACACUCACUCACACUCACUCAUUCAUGUUCUCAUGCUUGCACCCACACAAGUACGCUUUAAAAGACACACUUUGAAAGACAGUGUGGUUUUAGAAGUAGAUUCUGGCCUUUAGAAGCAAACUCUGGCCGUCUGAAGCUCUCUUCCAACCCUUAUGAGUGGUCCCUUAAAGAGUCAUUUGUCCUCUCUAAGCCUCAAUUUUCCAGAUCUUUAAAUUAGAUCCAGAAAAGAUCUGCCUCAUAAGCCUUUGAGGCAGGAUGUCUCUGAGAUAUUUGUAAAAGUACCUAGUACAUAACUUCUUCAUGGCACAGGGCAAGCCCCAAACCACAGAGGGGUCGGCAAACCCUCGGCUGAAGCCCUGGAAGUCACUCAGGCCUAUGCUUACAGAGUGAGGCUGGAUGGGGAAGGCAGAGAUGAGGGAAUGACAGUGAUCAAAAAUGUUGGUUCGCUCCUCAGUCUUUCGUAAAUUAACAAAUCAAAGACCUGCACAAGGAAAUAAUCAAUACUGGACAUGACCCAGGAGAAAUUCUGUCCCCAUCCAGGGAAUGAGGUGGCAGACACAGAAGACAAAGGAAAGCUUGCCAUUCCUUAGAAGUCUUUCUGGAGACCGUGUGCAAUACAGCCUCUAAAUAAAUGGUCUUCUACAGCUGACCGAGCAAGAAGGCCCCCACACAAUGACCCAUCGUUAGCUGUAGCUGCAAAACUGGAAGAACAGGGACUUCGCUGGUGGUCCAGUGGUUAAGAAUUCACCUGCCAACGCAGGGAACAUGGGUUCAAUCCCUGGUCUGGGACGAUCCCUCAUGCCACAGAGGAACUAAGCCCAUGCAUCACAACUACUGAAGUCUGUGUGCCCUAGAACCUGCUCUGCAACGAGAAGCCACUACAAUGAGAAGCCCCUACACACAGCUAGAGAGUAGCCCCAGCUCUCCAAAACUAGAGAAAGCCCGCACACAGCAACAAAGACCCAGUGCAGCCAAAAAUUUUUUAAAAAAAGAAAAAUUUAAGUCUGUAUUAAAAAAAAAAAAUAAGAACAGAAAGUUUCAAGACCUUGCCCAACAUCCCCCAGUCAGUCUCAGGAUCAACACACACAGUCUAGCUCUUAAAUCAAAGACAACAUCAAUAUCGAUUUUUGGUACAAGUACACCCUCAGUAAAAGAGCUCAGUAUGGCUUUUCGAGUCAGGUGGUCCUGGGUUCAAAUCCCAGCUUCACCAUUUACUAGUUGUGUGACUUUGGGAAAUUUUCUUAACCUCUUCCUUCUAAAUUUUAUCGUCUAUAAGACAGACAUAAAUAAUGCCUGCCUCUUGAUGUUUGUGAGGUUUAUUUUUUGAGAGCCUAGUUCAUGUUUUUCACAUGGGUAAGCACUGGAUUAAAUGGCUAUCUCCUUUCCCUCUCCUCUCCUGCCCCCAUUGUCUCCAUCACAUGUCAGAGAAAUAAACUUUGGUAUCCCUGAGUCUACCUGUGUUUCAGAUG